rnacentral:rRNA from 1 species
AUUGAACGCUGGCGGCAGGCCUAACACAUGCAAGUCGAGCGGAUGAAGGGAGCUUGCUCCUGGAUUCAGCGGCGGACGGGUGAGUAAUUCCUAGGAAUCUGCCUGGUAGUGGGGGAUAACGUCCGGAAACGGGCGCUAAUACCGCAUACGUCCUGAGGGAGAAAGUGGGGGAUCUUCGGACCUCACGCUAUCAGAUGAGCCUAGGUCGGAUUAGCUAGUUGGUGGGGUAAAGGCCUACCAAGGCGACGAUCCGUAACUGGUCUGAGAGGAUGAUCAGUCACACCGGAACUGAGACACGGUCCAGACUCCUACGGGAGGCAGCAGUGGGGAAUAUUGGACAAUGGGCGAAAGCCUGAUCCAGCCAUGCCGCGUGUGUGAAGAAGGUCUUCGGAUUGUAAAGCACUUUAAGUUGGGAGGAAGGGCAGUAAGUUAAUACCUUGCUGUUUUGACGUUACCAACAGAAUAAGCACCGGCUAACUUCGUG